rnacentral:lncRNA from 1 species
GAGAAAUGUCCUCAUAGUUUCUGUAUACCCACACCUGUGCCAUAAACUACUGAGAGUUUAGAGACCUCGUCUGUCCCUCCAGGCCUAUGCGGGAGCUCAAACAACCAGAACUCUAACCACCUGGACACCCAGCCUCUGGAGACCUUUGGACAAGAUAGCAAGAUUAAUAAGCUUAGAUGAUCCUAGUACAUAGGAGGUAGAAGGUAACAUACUGUGAGCUUGGAUAGUUCAGAAUCCAUCCUGGAUUCAGGUGACCCUUGAAGCCUGUGUUCUUGGGACUCUUUGCUCUUGGGGCCAGGCCCAACCACAGAUCAAAUCCUUACUAUGAAAAAUUGAAAGUGGAGACUAAGCAGGUAAUGUUGGACCUGCAGAGCUUACAGAAUGUGUACACUGAGGCCUCAGAGACAUUUGAAUUCCUGGCAAAGAGAAAGGCUGCUAUAGGUAACUGUCUGUCUUGCUUGGGAGCACAUGAGCUGUAGAAUUGCCAUCUCUGCUUUUGAUCCUGCACAGGAGACUCUCGAGCUCUGGUUCUUGCUUUCUGCCACUUCACACAGGAGCCUUUAGAUUUUUCUGUUGUAAACCUGUGGGUUGAAACACUUUUUGGGGUAAAAAAAAAAAGGUCAAAGGACCCUUUCACAGAGGUUGUGUAUCAGACAAUCCUUUAUCUCAGACACUUCUAUUAUGGCUUAUAACAGUACAAAAAUUAUAGUACCCAAGUAGCAAUGAAAAUAAUCUUAAGUUUGGGAGGUCACUGCAUUAAAGCAUCCACAGCAUUUGGUAAAUUGAGAAACCCUGGUCUUGACAGAAGAACUAUUUGUAUCAUGUGAGGUCUUCUUGACCCCCGGGGCUGAGUCAGGAUCUGUAGAGAGCUAGUUACCAGCAGACCCAUGUAUAGCAAGUAUUCCCCUUGUUUCUCCUUUCCAAUUCAUAGUGCCUUUGCCCAUUCCUUCGUGAUGUUUCUCCAUUAGGAUGGACAGGUAGGGACAACUGUAGUCCACUUCUUCUUUUUAGGAAACAUGGAUCCCUCUUAGUGUUGGGACUUUUGGAAGUAGCAUGAGUGUUUCUGGAAUUUGCUGUUCUCUAAUUUUUGCUUUCUGAGUGCAGCUCACCUAGAUGUCCUGAGUUCUUAUCUAGGUCUUCCUGAGAACCAGGGUCUGGUGGGGUUGAUGGUGUUUCUUAUAAGUUAAUAGGAAAAGGAUAGCAGGGGCUUUGUAUGCAUUGGGUGUUUGCAGAAACCUGCAGAGCCACCUUCUGAUGGAACUGAAUCAGCUGAAGAAGAAGGUAGACAUGCUGAGGAGGCACAGGAAUAAGAAAGUGCUGGAAGAUGAGGCACUGGUGCUGUAGUACUUGUGGGACUUAAAGGGGCUCCAUAAGGACCAAUAGGAAGAGGCCAGUGACUUCCAGAGUCAGGAACAACAGGUAGAGACAGGCAGCUUUGUCAGGCUAAUGGUUAGCUCCAUCUGCCCUUGUAACUUCUAGACGAGCUCAUCCACCUACCUGUGCUUUCAUCCAUCAUCUUACUCAUCCACACAGCAAUCUAAGUACAUACCUCAUGACAGCCAAUUGUUCAGGUCUAUGUCCAAGCACAAAUAUUUCUGGGGAAUGAGCUUCUUGUGAGAAAGUGGAUUAUCAGCAAGCAAAUCCACCUCUGCUUAAUACUUCAGCCCAAAGAUGAGUACAGUUCAGUAAUACACCACACGCCUACAGGGUUCAGUGCACAGAGCUUUAAGUGAGUGAAGUCAGGGCUUGUGGCUUAUUUGCUUGGCAUCAGUCAUAUAAUUCACAUGUGAGAAGCAGCUUGCAAGGGUGGGGGGAAUCCCUUUGCAAAUGCCAAAUGAGCAGUUCUUGAUGUCAUCUUUUUUGGGGUGACAUGUGGCAUUUCUCAUCUUUGCUGUCUACAUUUCAAGACAAUCUUUUUAAUCUGCCCAGGACAGACUCACACUGACUGAACUCUGACUAGCAGAGUGUUAGCCAUGUUUUUUGUCAAUGAGACUGGAGUAUUCUCCUUUUCUGUAGAUUGCAUUCUCCUGUUGACUGGAUGACUAUGGAUGUGGGUAGGGAUUCUGACAAGCUAGGGACAUGGUGUCAAGAGAUUUAAGAUUGCAAGAGGAAAUUUUAUGCAACCACUUCAGCAUAGUCUGGCCAAGCAAAGCAUGCUCACCAUAGCAAUUGUAUCUUCCACCUUUUGUUUAGCAUAGUGUAAGAUACCGCUCAAAUUGCUGGUAUGCUAUAACUAAACGAAUGUGUUCUUGCAGCACGAGGUGCUUUUUUUUUGGUAUUUUGCUCUCAUUUACAUACUCUGUGUGUGGUGGAUAGGCUGCUGAUAUGUGUGUUUUUGUGUGUGUGUAUAUUUUCUUUUUUGUAUAUUAUAGGCAUGUGGUAUUUUUUUUUCAUGCACUUUUUCAUGCAUUUUCUUCAUUUUCUAGAAGAUCUCAUUGGGUUUCAUUCUCAGCCUCUGUCUUGAAAUACUGUUUGCUCUUUCCCCCAGAAGCUGGCUGCUUUGCUUGCCUGGCUGAUCAUCAACCACUGGUAUCCUUUGUAAACACUUGCAUUUUCAUUCCAGUGUGUGCAUGCUUUUUGAUACCCCUCCACUAAGAACACAUACUCUAAUUAUCAGGAACAGGAUAGUCUGGAGCAAAGGCUAUAGUACUGCUGAGCAGAAGGACCUGGUCAUGCAGAAGAAGAACAAGC